GAUGAACGCUGGCGGCGUGCCUAAUACAUGCAAGUCGAGCGAACAGAUAAGGAGCUUGCUCCUUUGACGUUAGCGGCGGACGGGUGAGUAACACGUGGGUAACCUACCUAUAAGACUGGGAUAACUUCGGGAAACCGGAGCUAAUACCGGAUAAUAUUUCGAACCGCAUGGUUCGAUAGUGAAAGAUGGUUUUGCUAUCACUUAUAGAUGGACCCGCGCCGUAUUAGCUAGUUGGUAAGGUAACGGCUUACCAAGGCGACGAUACGUAGCCGACCUGAGAGGGUGAUCGGCACACUGGAACUGAGACACGGUCCAGACUCCUACGGGAGGCAGCAGUAGGGAAUCUUCCGCAAUGGGCGAAAGCCUGACGGAGCAACGCCGCGUGAGUGAUGAAGGUCUUCGGAUCGUAAAACUCUGUUAUUAGGGAAGAACAUACGUGUAAGUAACUGUGCACGUCUUGACGGUACCUAAUCAGAAAGCCACGGCUAACUACGUG
rnacentral:rRNA from 1 species